ACUCCUACGGGAGGCAGCAGUGGGGAAUAUUGCACAAUGGGCGCAAGCCUGAUGCAGCCAUGCCGCGUUGUGUGAAAGAAGGCCUUCGGGUUGUAAAGCACUUUCAGUUGUGAGAAGGUGGUGUUGUGAAUAGCAGCAUCAUUUGACGUUAGCAACAGAAGAAGCACCGGCUAACUCCGUGCCAGCAGCCGCGGUAAUACGGAGGGUGCGAGCGUUAAUCGGAAUUACUGGGCGUAAAGCGCAUGCAGGUGGUUUGUUAAGUCAGAUGUGAAAGCCCGGGGCUCAACCUCGGAACUGCAUUUGAAACUGGCAGACUAGAGUACUGUAGAGGGGGUAGAAUUUCAGGUGUAGCGGUGAAAUGCGUAGAGAUCUGAAGGAAUACCGGUGGCGAAGGCGGCCCCUGCAGCAGAUACUGACACUCAGAUGCGAAAGCGUGGGGAGCAAACAGGAUUAGAUACCCUGGUAGGACAGU
rnacentral:rRNA from 1 species